GACCCAGAGUGGCAUAGUGGUUUGAGUGCUGGACUAUGACACUAGGGACUAGAGUUCAAAUCCCCACUUGGCCA